AGCGAACGCUGGCGGCAGGCCUAACACAUGCAAGUCGAGCGGCCGUAGCAAUACGGCAGCGGCAGACGGGAGAGUAACACGUGGGAACGUGCCCUUUGGUUCGGAAUAACGCAGGGAAACUUGCGCUAAUACCGGAUAAGCCCUUACGGGGAAAGAUUUAUCGCCAAAGGAGCGGCCCGCGUCUGAUUAGCUAGUUGGUGAGGUAACGGCCCACCAAGGCGACGAUCAGUAGCUGGUCUGGGAGGAUGAUCAGCCUCACUGGGACUGAGACACGGCCCAGACUCCUACGGGAGGCAGCAGUGGGGAAUAUUGGACAACGGGCGCAAGCCUGAUCCAGCCAUGCCGCGUGGAUGAUGAAGGCCUUUGGGUUGUAAAGUCCUUUCAGCGGGGAAGAUAAUGACGGUACCCGCAGAAGAAGCCCCGGCUAACUUCGUGCCAGCCGCCGCCGUAACAC
rnacentral:rRNA from 1 species